rnacentral:lncRNA from 1 species
UUUGAAAAUCGUUUUUGGUGAUAAACGAAUUAAAUCAAGCAUCGACAUGGGAUCAGGGCCAUCCAUGGGCAUGAAAGCCAUCUCAAUAGCCCUGAACACUCACAACAAUAUCUUCUCUAUUACGGGUCUUAAAUUCGAUUUUCGUGGGAUGGAACCCUUGAGAUAUCGUUUUAAGUCCCAAAUUUACAUGUACAAAUGAUUGAACAUUAACUUUUACAAUUGAAC